UACGAAGGGUGCAAGCGUUACUCGGAAUUACUGGGCGUAAAGGGCGCGUAGGCGGCCUUCUAAGUCAGACGUGAAAUCCCCAGGCUUAACUUGGGAACUGCGUCUGAUACUGGGAGGCUUGAGUGCGGGAGAGGGAUGUGGAAUUCCAGGUGUAGCGGUGAAAUGCGUAGAUAUCUGGAGGAACACCGGUGGCGAAGGCGGCAUCCUGGACCGACACUGACGCUGAGGCGCGAAAGCUAGAGGAGCAAACGGG
rnacentral:rRNA from 1 species